AAUCUCCGAGUGAGAUUGGUAUAUUUCUGAAAAUAUAGAGUUCUCCGUGCUUUCAAGUCGCUUUCAAUGUUGGGACUUUCGAAUCGACGAUCGGUUCCGUUAAAUUUGAUUUAGAGUAUUUUUAAGUAUCUAAAUAAUAAACUUUGCGAUUUUUUGAUAUCAUCUGCCUAGCAAUCAAAUGGCUCAAAAUCAAUAAUUUUAAUGGCCGUGGUGAGCUAUUUGCAAGUUUAACGGUAUAGAAAUAUUCAAAUCACGUGAAAUUUUGAUAGAAAUGUUUUUUAUACUAUAUAAAACAAGAUUGAUAUUUUUGAUCUGAAAUUCACAUUUGGUAAGAUUUUUAUUUUCAACCAUUGAUUUUGAAUCCCUUUGAUUACUAGGCAAAUGAUAUCGAAAAAUUAUAAAUUUUAUUUUUUAAGUACUUCAAAUACUCUAGAUCAAGUCUAGCGGAGCCGAUCAUCAAUUCGAAAAUCCAAUAUCAAAAGCGAUUGGAAAAUAUAGAGACUCUGUGUUUCCAGAAACAUACCGACCUCACUGCAAAUCUCCCCUCUUUAACAAUGCCUAAGAAUUUUUGUAAAUUCUAAAAUAAUUAAUACAACAAACCAUUCA
rnacentral:lncRNA from 1 species